AACGAACGCUGGCGGCAUGCCUAACACAUGCAAGUCGAACGAGACCUUCGGGUCUAGUGGCGCACGGGUGCGUAACGCGUGGGAACCUGCCCUUAGGUUCGGAAUAACUCCCCGAAAGGGGUGCUAAUACCGGAUAAUGUCUUCGGACCAAAGAUUUAUCGCCUUUGGAUGGGCCCGCGUUGGAUUAGCUAGUUGGUAGGGUAAAAGCCUACCAAGGCGACGAUCCAUAGCUGGUCUGAGAGGAAGAGCAGCCACACUGGGACUGAGACACGGCCCAGACUCCUACGGGAGGCAGCAGUGGGGAAUAUUGGACAAUGGGCGAAAGCCUGAUCCAGCUAUGCCGCGUGAGUGAUGAAGGCCUUAGGGUUGUAAAGCUCUUUUACCCGGGAUGAUAAUGACAGUACCGGGAGAAUAAGCUCCGGCUAACUCCGUG
rnacentral:rRNA from 1 species